rnacentral:rRNA from 1 species
GACGAACGCUGGCGGCGUGCUUAACACAUGCAAGUCGAACGGAAAGGCCCUGCUCUUGUGGGGUGCUCGAGUGGCGAACGGGUGAGUAACACGUGAGUAACCUGCCCUUGACUUUGGGAUAACUUCAGGAAACUGGGGCUAAUACCGGAUAGGAGCUCCUGCUGCAUGGUGGGGGUUGGAAAGUUUCGGCGGUUGGGGCUGGACUCGCGGCUUAUCAGCUUGUUUGUCUGGUAGGGGUUUACCAAGUGUUAGACGGAUAGCCGGCGUGAGAGGUUGACCGGGCACCAGGGGACUGCGAGACGGCGCAGUAGCCUACGGGAGGCAGCAGGCGGGAGUAUGGCGGAAUGAGGGCAAGCGAGUGACGAAAGCGCCGGGUGCGGGAUGACGGCCUUCGGGUUGUGAACCGCUUUCGCCGGUGCCGAGGAGUGAGUGACGGUAAUGGGUAAGGAAGCACCGGCUAACUACGUG